CCUACGGGAGGCAGCAGUGGGGAAUUUUGGACAAUGGGCGAAAGCCUGAUCCAGCAAUGCCGCGUGCAGGAUGAAGGCCUUCGGGUUGUAAACUGCUUUUGUACGGAACGAAAAGCUUCGGGUUAAUACCCUGGAGUCAUGACGGUACCGUAAGAAUAAGCACCGGCUAACUACGUGCCAGCAGCCGCGGUAAUA
rnacentral:rRNA from 1 species